rnacentral:lncRNA from 1 species
GAUUUUCAUGACUUUGUGGGCUAAAAUGAGAUAGGUCCAAGUCCAAGAUUUUUCUAUUAUAUUUUAUUUAUUUAUUUAUUUAUUUAAAUUUUUUUUUCUUUUUUUUUUCUUUUUUUUUUUUGCAUAACACGUGGGCUUCGCCUUGCGAGCAUGACAACUCAUGAACAAACCUUUGCUCUUUCAAGAUUAACGAAUAGACCCCUGUUGGAAGUAA